rnacentral:misc_RNA from 1 species
UUAAGUUCAGCGCGUAUUCCUACCUGAUCCGAGGUCAACCUUGAGAAAAAAAGAUUCCCGAUGAACGGGAAAGGACCGGGUCCCGGGCGCCCUCGUCCGAUACGUGCUCAGUUAAGAAGCUCAGUGUACCGGGGGUUCCACAGGCCGCCGUCAUUGUCUUUAGGAGGGGUUCAUUGCCGAACCAAAAAAACCGUCCAACA